UAGGGAAUCUUCCACAAUGGGCGCAAGCCUGAUGGAGCAACACCGCGUGAGUGAAGAAGGGUUUCGGCUCGUAAAGCUCUGUUGUUAAAGAAGAACGUGGGUAAGAGUAACUGUUUACCCAGUGACGGUAUUUAACCAGAAAGCCACGGCUAACUACGUGCCAA
rnacentral:rRNA from 1 species